rnacentral:rRNA from 1 species
AGAGUUUGAUCAUGGCUCAGGAUGAACGCUAGCGACAGGCCUAACACAUGCAAGUCGAGGGGCAGCGGGGAGGUAGCAAUACUUCUGCCGGCGACCGGCGCACGGGUGCGUAACAGGUGUGCAAUCUGUCCAUAGUCGGGGGAUAGCCCGGCGAAAGCCGAAUUAAUACUCCAUGUGUCACGAAGGGGCAUCUCUUUGUGAUGAAACGUAAGGACUAUGGGUGAGCACGCUUCUGAUUAGGUAGUUGGUGAGGUAACGGCCCACCAAGCCGACGAUCAGUAGGGGUUCUGAGAGGAAGGUCCCCCACAUUGGAACUGAGACACGGUCCAAACUCCUACGGGAGGCAGCAGUGAGGAAUAUUGGUCAAUGGACGAGAGUCUGAACCAGCCAAGUUUGCGUGAAGGAUGAAGGUUCUAUGGAUUGUAAACUUCUUUUGUCCGAGGGUAAAGUGGGGGACGUGUCCCCUUUGGCAAGUAUCGGACGAAUAAGCAUCGGCUAACUCCGUGCCAGCAGCGGC